AGUCUGCAACUCGACUACAUGAAGCUGGAAUCGCUAGUAAUCGCAAAUCAGAAUGUUGCGGUGAAUACGUUCCCGGGUCUUGUACACACCGCCCGUCACACCAUGGGAGUUGGAAGCACCCGAAGUCUGUGACCUAACCGAAAGGGAGGAGCAGCCGAAGGUGAAGCCAGUGACUGGGGUGAAGUCGUAACAAGGUAAC
rnacentral:rRNA from 1 species